GGGUUGUGAGGUUAAGCGACUAAGCGUACACGGUGGAUGCCCUGGCAGUCAGAGGCGAUGAAGGACGUGCUAAUCUGCGAAAAGCGUCGGUAAGGUGAUAUGAACCGUUAUAACCGGCGAUGUCCGAAUGGGGAAACCCAGUGCAAUUCGUUGCACUAUCGUUAACUGAAUACAUAGGUUAACGAGGCGAACCGGGGGAACUGAAACAUCUAAGUACCCCGAGGAAAAGAAAUCAACCGAGAUUCCCCCAGUAGCGGCGAGCGAACGGGGAGCAGCCCAGAGUCUGAAUCAGCUUGUGUGUUAGUGGAACGGUCUGGAAAGUCCGACGGUACAGGGUGAUAGUCCCGUACACCAAAAUGCACAGGCUGUGAACUCGAAGAGUAGGGCGGGACACGUGGUAUCCUGUCUGAAUAUGGGGGGACCAUCCUCCAAGGCUAAAUACUCCUGACUGACCGAUAGUGAACCAGUACCGUGAGGGAAAGGCGAAAAGAACCCCGGCGAGGGGAGUGAAAAAGAACCUGAAACCGUGUACGUACAAGCAGUGGGAGCACCUUCGGGUGUGACUGCGUACCUUUUGUAUAAUGGGUCAGCGACUUAUAUUCUGUAGCAAGGUUAACCGUAUAGGGGAGCCGCAGGGAAACCGAGUCUUAACUGGGCGUUAAGUUGCAGGGUAUAGACCCGAAACCCGGUGAUCUAGCCAUGGGCAGGUUGAAGGUUGGGUAACACUAACUGGAGGACCGAACCGACUAAUGUUGAAAAAUUAGCGGAUGACUUGUGGCUGGGGGUGAAAGGCCAAUCAAACCGGGAGAUAGCUGGUUCUCCCCGAAAGCUAUUUAGGUAGCGCCUCGUGAAUUCAUCUUCGGGGUAGAGCACUGUUUCGGCUAGGGGGUCAUCCCGACUUACCAACCCGAUGCAAACUACGAAUACCGAAGAAUGUUAUCACGGGAGACACACGGCGGGUGCUAACGUCCGUCGUGAAGAGGGAAACAACCCAGACCGCCAGCUAAGGUCCCAAAGUCAUGGUUAAGUGGGAAACGAUGUGGGAAGGCACAGACAGCCAGGAUGUUGGCUUAGAAGCAGCCAUCAUUUAAAGAAAGCGUAAUAGCUCACUGGUCGAGUCGGCCUGCGCGGAAGAUGUAACGGGGCUAAACCAUGCACCGAAGCUGCGGCAGCGACACUAUGUGUUGUUGGGUAGGGGAGCGUUCUGUAAGCCUGCGAAGGUGUGCUGUGAGGCAUGCUGGAGGUAUCAGAAGUGCGAAUGCUGACAUAAGUAACGAUAAAGCGGGUGAAAAGCCCGCUCGCCGGAAGACCAAGGGUUCCUGUCCAACGUUAAUCGGGGCAGGGUGAGUCGACCCCUAAGGCGAGGCCGAAAGGCGUAGUCGAUGGGAAACAGGUUAAUAUUCCUGUACUUGGUGUUACUGCGAAGGGGGGACGGAGAAGGCUAUGUUAGCCGGGCGACGGUUGUCCCGGUUUAAGCAUGUAGGCUGGUUGUCCAGGCAAAUCCGGAUAAUCAAGGCUGAGGUGUGAUGACGAGGCACUACGGUGCUGAAGUAACAAAUGCCCUGCUUCCAGGAAAAGCCUCUAAGCAUCAGGUAACAUCAAAUCGUACCCCAAACCGACACAGGUGGUCAGGUAGAGAAUACCAAGGCGCUUGAGAGAACUCGGGUGAAGGAACUAGGCAAAAUGGUGCCGUAACUUCGGGAGAAGGCACGCUGGUGUGUAGGUGAAGUCCCUGCGGAUGGAGCUGAGACCAGUCGAAGAUACCAGCUGGCUGCAACUGUUUAUUAAAAACACAGCACUGUGCAAACACGAAAGUGGACGUAUACGGUGUGACGCCUGCCCGGUGCCGGAAGGUUAAUUGAUGGGGUUAUCCGUAAGGAGAAGCUCUUGAUCGAAGCCCCGGUAAACGGCGGCCGUAACUAUAACGGUCCUAAGGUAGCGAAAUUCCUUGUCGGGUAAGUUCCGACCUGCACGAAUGGCGUAAUGAUGGCCAGGCUGUCUCCACCCGAGACUCAGUGAAAUUGAACUCGCUGUGAAGAUGCAGUGUACCCGCGGCAAGACGGAAAGACCCGUGAACCUUUACUAUAGCUUGACACUGAACAUUGAGCCUUGAUGUGUAGGAUAGGUGGGAGGCUUUGAAGCGUGGACGCCAGUCUGCGUGGAGCCAACCUUGAAAUACCACCCUUUAAUGUUUGAUGUUCUAACGUUGGCCCCUUACCGGGGUUGCGGACAGUGUCUGGUGGGUAGUUUGACUGGGGCGGUCUCCUCCCAAAGCGUAACGGAGGAGCACGAAGGUUAGCUAAUCCUGGUCGGACAUCAGGAGGUUAGUGCAAUGGCAUAAGCUAGCUUGACUGCGAGCGUGACGGCGCGAGCAGGUGCGAAAGCAGGUCAUAGUGAUCCGGUGGUUCUGAAUGGAAGGGCCAUCGCUCAACGGAUAAAAGGUACUCCGGGGAUAACAGGCUGAUACCGCCCAAGAGUUCAUAUCGACGGCGGUGUUUGGCACCUCGAUGUCGGCUCAUCACAUCCUGGGGCUGAAGUAGGUCCCAAGGGUAUGGCUGUUCGCCAUUUAAAGUGGUACGCGAGCUGGGUUUAGAACGUCGUGAGACAGUUCGGUCCCUAUCUGCCGUGGGCGCUGGAGAAUUGAGGGGGGCUGCUCCUAGUACGAGAGGACCGGAGUGGACGCAUCACUGGUGUUCGGGUUGUCAUGCCAAUGGCACUGCCCGGUAGCUAAAUGCGGAAGAGAUAAGUGCUGAAAGCAUCUAAGCACGAAACUUGCCCCGAGAUGAGUUCUCCCUGAGACUUUAAGUCUCCUGAAGGAACGUUGAAGACGACGACGUUGAUAGGCCGGGUGUGUAAGCGCAGCGAUGCGUUGAGCUAACCGGUACUAAUGAACCGUGAGGCUUAACCUUACAACGCCGAAG
rnacentral:rRNA from 1 species